rnacentral:misc_RNA from 1 species
GGAGAUCAUCCUUAAAUCUGAAAGGAGAAGCGGAAAAAUUGAUGUUUAAAGCCUGUCUCAGAAAGCAAUCAUCUGGGUCAGACACGUUAAUGACUUGAUAGACAUAAUCAAUUUCUUGGACAUAUAAUUUCACUAAAUUUGGCAGCUCGAGUAAUGUAUCGUUCCUCUCUGUGCAAGACAAAUCGAACCCAUGAUAGCCACAGUAAUUAGGUUGCUGACCUUUAAGCCGGAAAGGGAAUCGGAUGGCCGGGCCAGACCCACACCUUGAUUCUG